rnacentral:rRNA from 1 species
CCUACGGGUGGCAGCAGUCGAGAAUCAUUCACAAUGGGGGAAACCCUGAUGGUGCGACGCCGCGUGGGGGAAUGAAGGUCUUCGGAUUGUAAACCCCUGUCAUGUGGGAGCAAAUUAAAAAGAUAGUACCACAAGAGGAAGAGACGGCUAACUCUGUGCCAGCAGCCGCGGUAAUACAGAGGUCUCAAGCGUUGUUCGGAAUCACUGGGCGUAAGGCGUGCGUAGGCUGUUUCGUAAGUCGUGUGUGAAAGGCGCGGGCUCAACCCGCGGACGGCACAUGAUACUGCGAGACUAGAGUAAUGGAGGGGGAACCGGAAUGCUCGGUGUAGCAGUGAAAUGCGUAGAUAUCGAGAGGAACACUCGGGGCGAAGGCGGGUUCCUGGACAUUAACUGACGCUGAGGCACGAAGGCCAGGGGAGCGAAAGGGAUUAGAUACCCGAGUAGUC